AAAACUCAAAGGAAUUGACGGGGGACCCGCACAAGCGGUGGAUGAUGUGGAUUAAUUCGAUGCAACGCGAAAAACCUUACCUACCCUUGACAUGCCAGGAACCCUGCUGAGAGGUGGGGGUGCUCGAAAGAGAGCCUGGGCACAGGUGCUGCAUGGCUGUCGUCAGCUCGUGUCGUGAGAUGUUGGGUUAAGUCCCGCAACGAGCGCAACCCUUGUCAUUAGUUGCCAUCAUUUAGUUGGGCACUCUAAUGAGACUGCCGGUGACAAACCGGAGGAAGGUGGGGAUGACGUCAAGUCCUCAUGGCCCUUAUGGGUAGGGCUUCACACGUCAUACAAUGGUCGGUACAGAGGGUUGCCAAGCCGCGAGGUGGAGCCAAUCCCAGAAAGCCGAUCGUAGUCCGGAUCGUAGUCUGCAACUCGACUGCGUGAAGUCGGAAUCGCUAGUAAUCGUGGAUCAGCAUGCCACGGUGAAUACGUUCCCGGGUCUUGUACACACCGCCCGUCACACCAUGGGAGUGGGUUUCACCAGAAGUAGGUAGCCUAACCGCGAGGGGGGCGCUUACCACGGUGGAUUCAUGACUGG
rnacentral:rRNA from 1 species